UUAACAAUAAAAAGUCUCCCCCGCCGGCCGGAGCAGCGAGCAGCGGGCGAAGCGAGGAGGAGAUGCCGCCGCCGGAGGGGGAGGGGGAGGAGCGGAGGAAGCCGUCGCCUGCGGAGUCCCGCGAGUGGACGCAGCGCUUCUUCCGGGGCCUCGGCGUGGACGCGCCCCUCCCGGCCGCCGCGGAUCGCUCCGACGCCUACUCCGCGCUCGUCCGGGGGGUCCUCUCCUCCGCCACCGUCUCCGCGGCCGGCCCGCCGCGCGUCUCCUGCACGCUCACCAUCUCCCACGCCGCCAUCAACGCGUACAACACGAUCCACGGCGGCAUGGUGAUGGGCGUAGCGGAGGCCGUCGGGAUGGCGUGCGCGCGCGCCGCGGUCGGGGACAAGGAGAUGUUCCUCGGCGAGCUCAGCACCGCCUAUCUCUCCGCCGCGCGCCUCAAUUCUGAAAUGGAAGUCGAAGCGCAGAUACUCAGGAAGGGCAGAUCUGUGGUGGUUACCACGGUUGAGUUUAGGCUCAAGGAAACCAAGAAGCUCUGCUACUUGUCUCGAGCCACCUUCUAUAUCAUGCCCGUGUCGAGCCUGUGAAUAAUCACCAUGGACGACACUACGAUAGCGUGUCUGUUUACACAACAAUAAUGGAAAGGAUAAAGUUGACGGCAUGAAAAUAUACUUCACGAUGAAUCUACAUAUUAAUGAGACAUGAGUUCCGGUUCGGAUCUUGCAAGCUUGGAUGGUAGCGGCCACACUACCGAAGAAGAAGAUGAGGUGCUAUUUGCGCUGCUUGAGUCGUUGGAGUUGAACAUUGCUCAACGGGUGGCAGCAAGGAUUCCUCAGCAAUCUGGGAUUGAAUGGGUGAUGCAAACCAUGAGUGAUGCAACACAAUGUAGGGGGGAAUGUUUCGUCUAGCUGCAGACCUGAUUCAUGCAUUGCAUUGGCUGCUGACUACUCGGUACGCACUUGGGAUUUUCUUAUUUAUCAUGGCAGGUUCGCAAGGCAACGGAGUUGCCAACAAUAGGUUGGUUAGUUUAGGGUCUACCAUUUCCCGAUAUUUCCAUCGCAUCCUCAAUUUGGUUGCCAUGCUAGCUGCAGAUAUUGUUAAGCCAGCUGACCCUAAUUUUGAAAUGGUGCAUCAUCUUAUAAUGGAUGGAUGAUCCUAGAUACCAUCCCUUUUAUUCUUCGGUUGGGGCAGUGAACGGAACACACGUUCCUAUGGUGGUUCACUCUGACACUGCUAAUGAGCAUAGGAACAUGCAUCAUUACACAAGUAGGAAUGUGCUUGCUGUUGUUGGAUGGGAUAUGAGGGUGCUAUUUGUGGAUUCGGGAUGGCCGAGAUCUGUUCACGACUAAGGGCACCCGCAAUGGUUUAGACGACAGCCGUCUGUUCAGUGCUAAACAGACAGCUUAACAGACAACUCCUUCAACCCAAAAGACAACUAGUUGUCUGUUUGGUUGUUUAAUACUCUACAUGCAACCGUAGAUCAAUCA